rnacentral:rRNA from 1 species
CAGCAGCCGCGGUAAUACGAAGGUCCCGAGCGUUAUUCGGAAUCACUGGGCGUAAAGAGUACGUAGGCGGUUUGGUAAGUCAGAUGUGAAAUCCCAGGGCUCAACCCUGGAACUGCAUCCGAUACUGCCUGACUUGAGUAAUGGAGGGGUAACUGGAAUUCUCGGUGUAGCAGUGAAAUGCGUAGAUAUCGAGAGGAAGACCAACGGCGAAGGCAGGUUACUGGACAUUUACUGACGCUGAGGCUCGAAGGCUAGGGUAGCGAAAGGGAUUAGAUACCCCUGUAGUCCUAGCAGUAAACGGUGCGCGCUUGGUGUAGGAGGACUCGACCCCUUCUGUGCCGGAGCUAACGCGUUAAGCGCGCCGCCUGGGGAGUACGGUCGCAAGACUAAAACUCAAAGAAAUUGACGGGGACCCGCACAAGCGGUGGAGUAUGUGGCUUAAUUCGAUGCAACGCGAAGAACCUUACCAAGGCUUGACAUGUAUUGCUAAGCACGUGAAAGCGUGUGACCCUUCGGGGACCUUACACAGGUGCUGCAUGGCCGUCGUCAGCUCGUGUCGUGAGAUGUUUGGUUAAGUCCAGCAACGAGCGCAACCCCUGUGAAUAGUUGCCAGCACGUAAUGGUGGGGACUCUAUUCAGACUGCCCAGGUCAACUGGGAGGAAGGUGGGGAUGACGUCAGGUCAGUAUGGCCCUUACGCCUUGGGCUGCACACGUACUACAAUGCCCAGUACAAUGAGAACCGAUACCGCGAGGUGGAGGGAAUCUAUAAAACUGGGCCCAGUUCGGAUUGGAGGCUGCAACUCGCCUCCAUGAAGUUGGAAUCGCUAGUAAUGGCACAUCAGCUACGGUGCCGUGAAUACGUUCCCGGGUCUUGUACACACCGCCCGUCACAUCAUGGAAGCCGAUCGCACCCGAAGUAUCUGCGCUAACUAUUUAUAGAAGCAAGGUCCUAAGGUGUAGUUGGUAACUAGGAUGAAGUCGUAACAAGGUAGCCGUA